UCUUUUAACUGGUCUAGUGGUAUGACUUUCACUUUGGUUGCAAGAGGUCUUGGGUUCAAAUCCCGGACGAG